rnacentral:rRNA from 1 species
AGCGGCGAGCGAAGCGGCAAGAGCUCAGAUUUGAAAUCUGGCNNCCCCUGACCGGGCGGCCCGAGUUGUAAUCUGUAGGAGGUGAUUCCNAACCUGCGCGCCCCGUCUAAGUCCCCUGGGAAGGGGCGCCGUAGAGGGUGACAGCCCCGUGAGGGGGGGCGCGACCGGGUCGAUUUUGUGAAUCCCGCCCGACGAGUCGAGUAGUUUGGGAAUGCUGCUCUAAAUGGGAGGUAUAUUCCUUCUAAAGCUAAAUACCGGCCGGAGACCGAUAGCGCACAAGUAGAGUGAUCGAAAGAUGAAAAGCACUUUGGAAAGAGAGUGAAACAGUACGUGAAAUUGUUGCAGGGGAAGCGCUCUUGACCAGUCGCGCGGCGGUGGGGACCAGUCGCCGUUGGCGGCGUAACCACCCUACCGGCUGCGGGUCAGCAUCAGCCCCUGGCGGCGGGAGAUGCGUGCUGGGAACGUGGCCCUGCCCUCUCGGGCGGGGUGUUUAUAGCCCACGCACCUAGCGUACCGCCUGCCGGGGCCGAGGAAUUCUGCGCCGCGUCAAAAACGGCUAGGAUGCUGGCAUAAUGGUCAUCAGCGUCCCGUCUUGAAACACGGACCAAGGAGUCAAGCAUCGGUGCGAGUGUCAGGGUGCUUCAAACCCGAGCGCGCAAUGAAGGUGAACUUUUUUUUUCUGGGUGGCAACCCUCCCCUCCCCGGAGGGGGGGGCGCACCACCGACCGGGCCCGAAGCUUCUGCGGAGGGACCUGAGUAGGAGCACCGCCGCUUGGACCCGAAAGAUUGCGAACUAUGCCUGUGUAGGGUGAAGCCAGAGGAAACUCUGGUGGAGGCUCGCAGCGGUUCUGACGUGCAAAUCGAUCGUCAAACAUGGGCAUGGGGGCGAAAGACUAAUCGAGCAAUCUAGUAGCUGGUUGCCGCCGAAGUUUCCCUCAGGAUAGCAG